GACUCUCGACAAUGGAUAUCUCGACUCUCGCAUCGAUGAAGAACGUAGCAAAAUGUGAUACUUGGUGUGAAUUACAGAAUCCCGUGAACCAUCGAGUCUUUGACCGCAAGUUGCACCCGAUAGGUCAAGGGCACGUUUGCCUAGGUGUCA